rnacentral:rRNA from 1 species
GUUAAAGCUUUCAACAACGGAUCUCUUGGUUCCCACAUCGAUGAAGAACGCAGCGAAAUGCGAUAAGUAAUGUGAAUUGCAGAAUUCAGUGAAUCAUCGAAUCUUUGAACGCACAUUGCGCCCCCUGGUAUUCCGGGGGGCAUGCCUGUUCGAGCGUCAUAAA